AUAUUGUGUUUAUGCAUCAAGAAUGUGCGUGAGCGUUCGGAUUUAUUACGCGACUGUCCUCGUUCGUCCUAUUCCUAAUAAAUAAACUGCGAAUAUCUGUGUUUAUGCAACUUUAUAUCUUCAUAAAGAUAACCAAAGAAAUGGAACCUAAAUGGAAACGCGUUUUACUUACUAAAUAAUACAACAAGCACUUGGCUUUGGAUAUCUUAUAUAGUUUUGCCUGUUAUAUACAUAUAUUUACUAGACUUUUGCACCUCUUAAUUAUCUAUAGAUGCAUAAACACAUCCGCAGUUUACUGAUGAAACUUCACGAACUCUUUCUUCGUUGCAUCGCUUCUGUUAAAAUAUAAAAUAGAAUUAUUUUUCUUUCUAUCUUUAGCCUUUUAUCGUAUUCGACUGUACCGAGCUCUUCGUGUCCCUCUGCUUUUUCAACCUUUCGAAAGAGAAAUAAAGAGGUGCCGUUGCACGAUCGCGCUUCGAUAUUCAAAUUUACGUGUGCAUACGCGUAAAUCUAUAUACAUAGCUUUAUAGACCUCGACGGUUUUGCAGGUGACGCGAUCAGCGAGGAACUAAGGUGAGCAAUAUUUGGCGGUUUGUUGCAAGAAGAACGAUUUUUUCGUUGUUGAUACCGUGAAACAGUGGUGUUAAAUGUUGUGUCGUUGCUAUCUGCAAUGUUAUCGAAGGUGAACGCACGCCGAAAUUUUUAAGUAAAUUCGUGAGAUUAGAUUGAAAACGAAAGUAAUCGUUUGAAACGAAAUCAAGCAUGAAGUGUCAGCGUAGUUGCGAAGUGUUACUACGUAUUAUCCUGAUUAUUCGUGUUCGAAAAUUCGUUACAUCGUCAGGAUGGGUACCUGGUAUUCAAGGUAAUUUCUAUUUGUAUGUUAUACAUCUUUUAUAUUUAAAUCUUCCUCGAUAUAUUCUUCAAAUUUUGAAUUCUAGAAGAACGAACUAUUAAUCAAGCAAUUUCAAAAAGAUUGCCUCUACACUUGGGCACCGAUAGCGUAAUCGGCAUAACCACGAGCGGAGAAACAAAUGGAAACUCCAGCGCCAACGAAACCCGGCGAAAAUAAGGUCCGCUGAGCACGGAUGAAUCGAUCGUGAGAAACACGCUUCCGGUGGCUACCUUGGUGCGUACAUAUGUACUUAACGCUAGAACUAGAUCCUGAACACAUCGUUCUCUAAGUGACGUCGUGCUAUUAAGCGCAUCUUAUUAUCAUCGACGGAGUCUAAGGUACUCGGCCUCCUCGAAUCUACUGCAAAACGAGGCUGCGUUCUCGAUUCCCAUAUAUAUAAUACGGAUAUAUCUGUCGAGACAUACGGAAUAAUAGGGGUAGUGUUGUAUUUCUUAUGCGUGGCUUAAAUUUUAGUAAGUCCAUGUCUUACACAAAAAAUCACGUUUGGCGAAAGCUACACGAGUUCCCUUAAAUAAAUUAUCGUUUACGCUUUCGUUCGGAAUAUAUAAAAUAUAUUAUGUAUGAUAAUAUAUCGUAUAUAUCAUAACCGUGUACACUAAGUUAUCGACUAUCCCUAUAUUGCGUGUAUAUUAUAUUAAAUCGAGACAAAAGAUCCGCGUUUUAUAUUCGUCCGAAGGUUCAGGCGUUCGAUUCGUGCUUCUUUUCUACGGAUUAUAUAGUCACGUUCACUGAAUAAGCCACGGGCGCGGUUCGAACCAGGAACAAUCUUUGGCUCGCUUUAUUAUGCGACAACUGAGGGGUCACGUUUAUAACGAGUGUCCGAUUCGUCUUGGAACAGGGGCGGGGGAGGUUGUCUAAAAAUGGUCUGCCGUGGUGGUCAUUGCGAUAUUAUUUUUCGCCCUUCAACCAUACAGUCUGAACUAUUUACACUAUUUCUUCAAACGACAAAUAAAUAUUCGUUGAACCGAAAUGUUCUGAUAUUGCAGGUAGAGAAACACCGGUGCCAAGUACAAUAUAAUCACGGGAUUAACCAUUACUUGAAAUUGCGUCGGAUAAGCGUUCGCUCGUCUAUCUUCUUCGUCAUCCUCUUCAUCUAAUUUCCUCCUCUCCCUCUUUGUUUCUCUUUUUCUCUUUUUGCUUAUACUAAGGCAACUAACGAACAGUUAAAAAAUUGUCAAGGCUCUUGCUGGAAGGAUUAUAAAACGCGACGCGUCCAGGAUGUCCUUCAUCCAUCGUCAUAACGUCCAUAUCGUCAUCUCGAUCAACAACAUUUCACCGACAACCGUAACGCGCCACUUCAUAUAACACGAACGACACCAGCUCGGAACGAGAGUCUCGUCCUUAAAACACAGCAGAAUUGGUGAUCGCUAGUUUCUGACGUUGCGAGUUUUGCUGUCUCUGCUGUUCUCUAUCUCUCUCUCCCUUUCUCUCCCUCUCUCUUAUAC